AGUGAACGCUGGCGGUAGGCCUAACACAUGCAAGUCGAACGGCAGCACAGUAAGAGCUUGCUCUUACGGGUGGCGAGUGGCGGACGGGUGAGGAAUACAUCGGAAUCUACUUUUUCGUGGGGGAUAACGUAGGGAAACUUACGCUAAUACCGCAUACGACCUACGAGUGAAAGCAGGGGAUCUUCGGACCUUGCGCGAUUGAAUGAGCCGAUGUCGGAUUAGCUAGUUGGCGGGGUAAAGGCCCACCAAGGCGACGAUCGGUAGCUGGUCUGAGAGGAUGAUCAGCCACACUGGAACUGAGACACGGUCCAGACUCCUACGGGAGGCAGCAGUGGGGAAUAUUGGACAAUGGGCGCAAGCCUGAUCCAGCCACACCGCGUGGGUGAAGAAGGCCUUCGGGUUGUAAAGCCCUUUUGUUGGGAAAGAAAAGCAGCAGGUUAAUACCCCGCUGUUCUGACGGUACCCAAAGAAUAAGCACCGGCUAACUUCGUG
rnacentral:rRNA from 1 species